UACGGAGGGUGCGAGCGUUGUCCGGAAUCAUUGGGCGUAAAGGGCGCGUAGGUGGCCCGGUGAGUCUUUGGUGAAAGCGCGGGGCUCAACCCUGCGUCGGCCAGGGAUACUGCCGCGGCUCGAGCACUGUAGAGGCAGGCGGAAUUCCGGUGUAGCGGUGGAAUGCGUAGAGAUCCGGAAGAACACCGGUGGCGAAGGCGGCCUGCUGGGCAGUCGG
rnacentral:rRNA from 1 species